UCGGGUGUCCAGGCGCCGGAUCUGAGCGAACGUCUCAGCCGGUAGCUCAUGGGUGGAACAUUGACAUUGGUGCAGAGCCGAACGGCUCGAACUCAGUACAUCCCUUGCGGAUAGGAAAGGUUCGAACCUGGAAGUCCUGCACAUGCACGCUGUUGGGUCCUGAGGGACCGGACCUCAUCGGAACAGAUGAGAACCGAAUCCUCUGGACCUUUUCUUGUCGGUCAUAACUCGGCCGGCGGAAAAGGUACCGCCCGUACUUUGAGAACUACACAGUGGACGCGAGCAUCUUAGAUUCGAACCUUCGGGUUCGGAUCACAAAAGAUGAUCUGAUUUAUUAGAUCAUUGGUCAAUCUGCUCACUUAGGUGAGCCGAUCGAUUCAAACUCAUGUGAU
rnacentral:misc_RNA from 1 species